UUGUUCACCUUUUGAUCUUGUGAGUCAAUUUCUCUAUCAAUUUAGCCUCAAUAUUGAGGAUAUUUUGUACUUACCUUUUCUACAUGUUUUUGGGAAACAAUAUACAAGGCCUACACAUAAUAUGGACAAUUUUCACAAGUAUGUUAUUACAUCAUAUUCAAUUUGACCUGCCUUUCAGAGAUGAGAGUGAUUAGCCUACAUUCUAGAUUAGGUGUACGAAUAAACAUACUGCACCUUGUAGGAAAUGUUCAAUAAACAGGAGUUUCAUCAAAAACAAAAGAAAAAGCACUUUAUUUCAAAUGAACAAGAUAAAAUCAUCUUUGGCAAGUCUUCAUACCAUAUUAGAGUCAAUGAUUUGAACCACAGUCUAAAGACAUUCAGCUUGUCCAAUGGUCAGGAGGUUUUUGUACCAGCAGUAAUAGGGAUUGUAUCACUGUGGUACACUUUUGGUAGCGGCACCAGACUAGAUGUUGGAAGUAACAGUGCCCCCACCCUCACCAUCCUGCCCCCCUCUAGUGAGGAGCUGUCCAGUACAACAAUAGCCACACUGAUGUGUCUGGCCAACAAGGGCUUCCCCUCAGACUGGACCAUGAGCUGGAAAGUGGAUGGGACCAGCAAAAAGCAGGAGACCAGUCCCGGGGUUCUGGAGAAGGAUGGUCUGUACAGCUGGAGCAGCACCCUGACUCUCACUGCCCAGGAGUGGACCAAGGCAGGAGAGGUGACCUGUGAAGCCCAGCAGAAAUCCCAGACUCCAGUCACCAAGACCCUGAGGAAGGCUGACUGUUCUGGGUAGGACCCACCAGUCACACACCCCUGUGGAGAGAGAUUGCUGGUUCCUCUGCUUUGACUUGCUUCGUUCUCUGAUUUAGUGAUCACUCUCGUAUAGACUGACAGGGGGCUUGGCUUGAGUUCAUGUGUCAAUCCAUUCUGUAGACUGAGAUUUUGUUAGAUUUAGAUUUGAUGUGAUGUGUUUUAUUCACUAUCAUGUUUGCUUUGAUGCUUCAAUUAUGUAAUAAUGGAUUCAAAUAAAGAUGUAUUUUUGCAAUGC